GGCCUUCGUACCCAGGCCCUCGAUGCGGGCCCAGGUCACCGCUAGCCUCCGGGCGGUGUUCGACGCCCCGGAUCGCCCUGAGGCCGAGCGGCAACUGGAGAUCUCCGUGAGGAAGUACCGGACGAGUGCCCCGAAGCUGGCCGAGUGGCUGGAGGCGAACGUGCCCGAGGGCCUGACGGUGUUCGCCCUGCCGCCGGGCCACCGGCGGCGGCUGAGGACCUCGAACAUGUUGGAGCGGCUGAACG
rnacentral:misc_RNA from 1 species